rnacentral:rRNA from 1 species
GACGAACGCUGGCGGCGUGCUUAACACAUGCAAGUCGAACGGAAAGGCCCUGCUUUUGUGGGGUGCUCGAGUGGCGAACGGGUGAGUAACACGUGAGUAACCUGCCCUUGACUUUGGGAUAACUUCAGGAAACUGGGGCUAAUACCGGAUAGGAGCUCCUGCUGCAUGGUGGGGGUUGGAAAGUUUCGGCGGUUGGGGAUGGACUCGCGGCUUAUCAGCUUGUUUGUGGGGUAGUGGCUUACCAAGGUUUUGACGGGUAGCCGGCCUGAGAGGGUGACCGGCCACAUGGGGACUGAGAUACGGCCCAGACUCCUACGGGAGGCAGCAGUGGGGAAUAUUGCACAAUGGGCGGAAGCCUGAUGCAGCAACGCCGCGUGCGGGAUGACGGCCUUCGGGUUGUAAACCGCUUUCGCCUGUGACGAAGCGUGAGUGACGGUAAUGGGUAAAGAAGCACCGGCUAACUACGUG